rnacentral:rRNA from 1 species
AAUAGAUACCCGGGUAGUCCACGCCGUAAACGAUGAGUGCUAAGUGUUAGAGGGUUUCCGCCCUUUAGUGCUGCAGCUAACGCAUUAAGCACUCCGCCUGGGGAGUACGGCCGCAAGGCUGAAACUCAAAGGAAUUGACGGGGGCCCGCACAAGCGGUGGAGCAUGUGGCUUAAUUCGAAGCAACGCGAAGAACCUUACCAGGUCUUGACAUCCUCUGACAACCCUAGAGAUAGGGCUUUCCCCUUCGGGGGACAGAGUGACAGGUGGUGCAUGGUUGUCGUCAGCUCGUGUCGUGAGAUGUUGGGUUAAGUCCCGCAACGAGCGCAACCCUUGAUCUUAGUUGCCAGCAUUCAGUUGGGCACUCUAAGGUGACUGCCGGUGACAAACCGGAGGAAGGUGGGGAUGACGUCAAAUCAUCAUGCCCCUUAUGACCUGGGCUACACACGUGCUACAAUGGAUGGUACAAAGGGCUGCAAACCUGCGAAGGUAAGCGAAUCCCAUAAAGCCAUUCUCAGUUCGGAUUGCAGG